UGAGUAACCUGCCCUUAACUCUGGGAUAAGCCUGGGAAACUGGGUCUAAUACCGGAUAUGACUCCUCAUCGCAUGGUGGGGGGUGGAAAGCUUUUUGUGGUUUUGGAAGGACUCGCGGCCUAUCAGCUUGUUGGUGAGGUAAUGGCUCACCAAGGCGACGACGGGUAGCCGGCCUGAGAGGGUGACCGGCCACACUGGGACUGAGACACGGCCCAGACUCCUACGGGAGCAG
rnacentral:rRNA from 1 species